rnacentral:rRNA from 1 species
UACGGAGGGUGCAAGCGUUAUCCGGAUUCACUGGGUUUAAAGGAUGCGUAGGCGGGUUGGUAAGUCCGUGGUGAAAUCUCCGAGCUUAACUCGGAAACUGCCGUGGAUACUAUCAAUCUUGAAUAUCGUGGAGGUAAGCGGAAUAUGUCAUGUAGCGGUGAAAUGCUUAGAGAUGACAUAGAACACCAAUUGCGUAGGCAGCUUACUACACGAUCAUUGACGCUGAGGCACGAAAGCGUGGGGAGCAAACAGG